GACGAACGCUGGCGGCGUGCCUAAUACAUGCAAGUCGAACGAAGCUGUUUUAACUGGUGCUUGCACCGACUUAAACAACUGAGUGGCGAACGGGUGAGUAACACGUGGGUAACCUGCCCCAAAGCGGGGGAUAACAUUUGGAAACAGAUGCUAAUACCGCAUAACCACAGAAACCACAUGGUUUCUGUGUCAAAGAUGGUUUCGGCUAUCACUUUGGGAUGGACCCGCGGCGUAUUAGCUAGUUGGUAAGGUAAUGGCUGACCAAGGCAAUGAUACGUGGCCGAACUGAGAGGUUGAUCGGCCACAUUGGGACUGAGACACGGCCCAAACUCCUACGGGAGGCAGCAGUAGGGAAUCUUCCACAAUGGACGAAAGUCUGAUGGAGCAACGCCGCGUGAGUGAAGAAGGUUUUCGGAUCGUAAAACUCUGUUGUCAGAGAAGAACGUGUGCGAGAGUAACUGCUCGUGCAGUGACGGUAUCUGGCCAGAAAGCCACGGCUAACUACGUGCCAGCCGCCGCAGUAA
rnacentral:rRNA from 1 species